GAUUUUUUUUAGUUUUAAGCAUCUUUCAUACAAUUUUUUCUUAACUCUUUUAUAUGAAGUUUGAUUUUACUGUAGAAAAAAAAUUCCUUUACAAAAAAUAUGCCAAAAUAU
rnacentral:sRNA from 1 species